rnacentral:rRNA from 1 species
CGAAAGCCUGACGGAGCAAGACCGCGUGAGGGAUGAAAGCCUAAUGGUUGUAAACCUCUUUUAUUGGGGAAGAUAAUGACGGUACCCAAUGAAUAAGCCUCGGCUAACUCCGUGCCAGCAGCCGCGGUAAUACGGAGGAGGCAAGCGUUAUCCGGAAUUAUUGGGCGUAAAGCGUCCGUAGGUGGUCAAACAAGUCAGCUGUUAAAGUGCGGAGCUUAACUCCGUAAAGGCGGUUGAAACUGAUUGACUAGAGUGCGGUAGGGGUUACGGGAAUUCCCAGUGUAGCGGUGAAAUGCGUAGAUAUCAGGAAGAACACCGGUGGCGAAGGCGCUCUGCUAGGCCGUAACUGACACUGAGGGACGAAAGCUAGGGGAGCG